rnacentral:lncRNA from 1 species
CUGCAUUGGUUCACCCUCAAACUGACUAAAUUUUAGCAAUGGAUAAAAUAAUUUUUGCUGACAAAUAUGUAGAAGGUUUACACAGCCCUUUACAACUUGGGCUAGAAACUUCAGAAGGAAUAUGAUAAACGCCCACCCAAUCUUUCCAGGGUACAUGUAGAUUAAACAAUGUCACAUCUGUUUGUAAGUUAAAAAGCUUACUCUAUGGCUUCUACAUUUUAUCUUUAUGUUUCCUACUCUUAUAAAUAAUAUACAUGUGACUACAGCUAACUCGUAACAUAAUUGAGAUUAUUAUAUUCAUACAACUAUAUAUCUUUUAUAAAACAAACAACAUAUUGUUACAUAUAUCCCUCUAGAUCAUAUGUGGAAAACAUUCACUGUAUGUUAUAAGAAAUUAGUGCUUUUUAUCAAACAUUAGUGAUGUGUAGAAAUCAUGACUUCAGCUAUACAAAGUGCAUUUUGAUCCAGAGGGCUUUUUUUAUGAUCCCAUGUAGAAGAGAGAUCAUUACAGCCAUGCUUCUCAAACACAUUCUAUUGUUUUUAAAUAAAUGGGUAAGGGAUUUGCAACUAAAGAAAUUGGGAAACAAACCAAAACUAGAAGAUGAGGUGAAGCGCUACAGAUAAGAGAAAGAAUUUAGCAAGAACAGGUCAGAGGGUAGCUACAAGAAUACAAAGAGCCAGUGGGAAGGGAGGCUUAGGGAGCAGAAAUUGGGGCAAAGUGUUAAGAAGAGACCACCGUGUUGUACUGGGGUCCAAAAGACAAUGUGGAGGCUUUACCCUCAGUGACAAGGUAAUCUAAAGAUUUCUCCUGUUUAAACUAUAAAUAUUUAUCUGAAACUUGUACAUAUCUUCUAUGCACAAAGUAGGACUUCCAGAAGCCCUUUUGUGCUGAAGCCUAGAAUAACUAAGAGGGUUUUGGCUCACGUAAUUCAUUUGCAUCUUCACAAAAUGAAUGUGUACUCAUUUGAGUCCUUCGAAGCUUUAAAACAGCCAUAUUCUUCUUGAUGUUUAUAUAUUUUCCUUAGGCAUUUUUUUCCACAAAAUAGACAAGUUUUAUCCAUACAAAAAUUGGCCGAUGCAGAUAAUGCCUCUCUUGAUAAGGAUCACAGCAAGUCUCUUCCUUAGCAUCUAGCAUGCACCACCACACAAUUUGAUGAUGUGCAGAAGGGAAAACUGGCCUGGAGCCUGUGAAUCACCCUGGUUUUUCAGGAAAAAAAGAAUCACCAGCAGUUAUUUCAUCUCUACCUUCUUAAAGUCUUAUCUUCACUUGAGAUAACAUUAAGUCAAUCGGCAUUUCACAUUGAUCCUGAUCUUCUUAGCCAUAGUGAAUAUUGUUUAAAAUUUCAUUUAUAACUAUUCCCUAUCAUUGGCUGUACAGAUAACAUUUGACAUUUUGAAUAAUUUGUCCUUUGUCCUUCUGAAUUAUUCCUAAGUCAAAUAAUUUUUCACUUCUGAUGAGCUCAUUUUAUGUUUUUAUCAUAAUCAUAAUGCCUCUGCAUGAAACUCUCCCAGCUUCUGUUAUCUGUUGAUCAUAUUACACUUAAUAAUGGUCAGCAUCUCAAAAUGACAGGCAAACAUGACAAAAUCAUAGUAAUCUAGGGAAUAUAAGAUGACAAGAAUGAAAAUGCUCAUAUCUCACUCCUUGUGCCAACUGUUAGGGCAGGCAGUGUUGAGUCACAUUUUCUGGACCAUACAUUAAAAAAUGCUGUAUACAUAAAGCACAAAAUUGUAGGUAAUGGCUUUCUCUCUAUCCCUUCGGCUAGAUUGUGAGUCACUCAAAGGCAGCACCCAUGUUUAAUGUUUUCAGUAUGUCUCAUCGUAACUGUUACAUAAUAAUAAUUCCUAGGAUAUGUUUUUUUUAAACUCAAUGAAACAAGUUGAUAAAAAAUCUGUUAUUUCAAGGAGAAAACAAAAUUUCCUUAGAACUACAUUCCUACAUCUGAGACUGAAUAGCAGAAUAAUCUAGGAAAGUUUGCUUAAACUCACAUAUCUUACCUUUUCCACACUGAAUAUGUAUUAUUUAAGAAAGUUUCCAGAAGAUACUCUGGAAACUGUGUCUCCAUCUUAGAACCACAGCAAUAAAAAAAAAAUUGAGAUUGCUUUCUUUGUUAUUUUUACUAUGUUAUAAACACAAAGGCAAUGAAGAGUUAAACAUACAUAUAUAUAUAUAUACACGUACUUAUAUACAUACCACACAAAUGUAUAUAUUUAUACAUAGAUUCACAUAUAAGUUUGUGUGUACAUAAAUAUAUAUAGAUGAUAUAGAUAUAGGAGACAUAAGUCAUGGUGGAACACUUGAUCUGGCCUUACAUUCAAGAUAUAUGAAUGUGAAAGCAAAUAAUUAAGCAAUAUUAGAAUUUUCAGAUAUGAGCAAAAAUGAUUUGAUUAUAGUAGAAAGAACAAAAAGAA